AACGAACGUUGGCGGCGUGGAUUAGGCAUGCAAGUCGCGCGAAUGCCCGCAAGGGUGGAAGCGGCGUAAGGGGCAGUAAGGCGUGGGGAUCUACCCGGGGGUCGGGAAUAGCCCGUCGAGAGACGGGGUAAUGCCCGAUGAUGUCGUAAGACCAAAGGUCCGCCGCCCCUGGAGGAGCCCACGUGGUAUUAGCUAGUUGGUGGGGUAACGGCCCACCAAGGCGGUGAUGCCUAGCGGGUGUGAGAGCACGACCCGCGCCACUGGCACUGAGACACUGGCCAGACACCUACGGGUGGCUGCAGUCGAGGAUCUUCGGCAAUGGGGGCAACCCUGACCGAGCGACGCCGCGUGGGCGAUGAAGGCCUUCGGGUUGUAAAGCCCUGUCGAGGGGGAGGAAACCUAACGGUUGACCCAUCCCUGGAGGAAGCACGGGCUAAGUUCGUGCCAGCAGCCGCAGUAAAAC
rnacentral:rRNA from 1 species